CACGUAGGGGGCGAGCGUUGUCCGGAUUUAUUGGGCGUAAAGAGCUCGUAGGCGGCUCGGUAAGUCAGGUGUGAAACCUCCAGGCUCAACCUGGAGACGCCACCUGAUACUGCCGUGGCUAGAGUCCGGUAGAGGAGCGUAGAAUUCCUGGUGUAGCGGUGAAAUGCGCAGAUAUCAGGAGGAACACCGGUGGCGAAGGCGGUUCUCUGGGAAUGACCUGACGCUGAGGAGCGAAAGUGUGGGGAGCGAACAGG
rnacentral:rRNA from 1 species